rnacentral:rRNA from 1 species
UACGUAGGGCGCGAGCGUUGUCCGGAAUCAUUGGGCGUAAAGAGCUCGUAGGCGGCCUGUCGCGUCUGCUGUGAAAUCCCGGGGCUUAACCCCGGGCGUGCAGUGGAUACGGGCUGGCUGGAGGCAGGCAGGGGAGAACGGAAUUCCCGGUGUAGCGGUGAAAUGCGCAGAUAUCAGGAGGAACACCGAUGGCGAAGGCAGGUCUCUGGGCAUUAACUGACGCUGAGGAGCGAAAGCAUGGGGAGCGAACAGG